rnacentral:tRNA from 1 species
GGCGGGGUGCCGGAGCGGUCGAACGGGGCAGUCUUGAAAACUGCUGUGCCCUUCGCGGGGCACCGUGGGUUCAAAUCCCACCCCCGCCG